rnacentral:rRNA from 1 species
UACGGGGGGAGCAAGCGUUGUUCGGAUUUACUGGGCGUAAAGGGCGCGUAGGCGGCCACCGCAAGUCAAUUGUGAAAUCUCCGGGCUUAACUCGGAAAGGUCAACUGAUACUGCGGGGCUAGAGUGCGGAAGGGGCAACUGGAAUUCUCGGUGUAGCGGUGAAAUGCGUAGAGAUCGUAAGGAAGGCCAGUGGCGAAGGCGGCUCACUGGCCCGAUACUGACGCUGAGGCACGAAAGCGUGGGGAGCAAACAGG